AAUAUAAAAACAAACAAACAAAAAAAUUCCCUCAACUCCUGCAAUACACACACAAACAGUACCUAAUUGUCCAAGGAUGUAAGGAAAGUAAUAGCAUCUUUAGCAUCAAAGGACAUCAUGUGAUCAGGUUUACUCCAAUCAACCCAUUAAAAAGUUUGCUUUUUCCCCCCUCCCCUUUGCCCCACUUUCUAAUGGACUACUCACCGUAGGGGGGGAAAAAUGUACUUUAUAAUUGGUUCUCAAUAGUCUCUGGGCAAUUUAUCAAUAGCAGCCUGUUUCCCACCUCUUUUUGCCUUCAGGGGCGGAAAGAGUGCCUCCUUUCCAUGGAGCAGACAGGUGAGUCCAUCCCACACCCUCUGUAUCCUUUAUAAAGCCCAGUAGAGCCCACAUUGUAGGUAGUGGACCAAUUCUUGUUUAAUAGAAUGAUGAAUAAGUUACCUUCCUCUCUUUCAUAAUAGGAAAGCUGAGGCCAGAGAGUUUAUUUUUUAAAAAUUUUGACACACUCAGCUUCAAAGAUAAAACACAAAGAAAAGCAUUCCAAAGACAAAAGUGAUUUUGUUCAUAUUUUAUAUUGGAGUAUCUUAACUGUGGAGAUUCUAAUGUUUCGGUCUUGGGGGGAUCUUAGGAGUCAGUAUUUUAAAGUUUCCCAGAUGUUUCCGAUGUGCAGGUUGAGUGAAAUCCUGAGCUAGAAAAACGCAGAAUGUUUCCCAAACCAUAUUGUGCAACAGAAUCACCUAGGAUAGUGCCUCUCAAACUUUAAUGUGCACACAAAUCACUUGGAGAUCCUGUUUAAAUGCAAGUUCUGAUUCAGGAGGUCUGGGCUGAAGCCAAGAUUCUGCAUUUUCUAACAAGCUCUGGAGUUUGCCGGUGCUGCUGGUUCACGGAUUAUACACUGAGUAGCAGCAAGGCCCUAGGAUGUUGGAGGAAAUACAGAUUCCUGAGUCCCACUCUCAGGGAUUCUGAUUCGCCUAGUUUUUAGUGAGACUCAACAAUCUGCAUUUUAAAAAGUUCCCUAAGGUGCUCUUGAUGCCCAGACGGAUUUACCAAAACCUGGGAACCAAUCCUGGCUCAUUAACCCCUUGUGUGACCUUAAGCAAUUCUUCCCUCUCUAUAGGUCUCAUUUUCCUCCUCAAGGAUAGAUAAGUUGAUUUCUUAGGCCCUUCCAACUCUCACGUUUAAGGAAACCUCCAUAACAGUUUAGGACCAAUGGCGGCCUGAGUCUGAGAACUACAAUCCCCACAAUGCGCUGUGCUGCUCCGCUCCCUUGUGGGAUCUUGAAAGAGGAUCGCUCCUGGAGGCACUCCCCACAACCCUUUGCGGUGCUUCAAGGUGGCGGCGCCCACUGGCGCCAUGAGCGAUCUGGAGAGCAGCAGCAGCAGCGAUGCGGAGGAGCUGGACCGGUGCCGCGAGGCGGCGAUGCCGGCCUGGGGCUUGGAGCAGCGCCCGAGGGGCCCGGAGAAGCCAAGAGCCGGUGCUGCAAAUACUCAGUUGCCAACCACCCAACCGAGCCUCAGGCACAAGGUGGAUGAGCACGAACAAGACGGCAACGAGCUGCAGACCACCCCUGAAUUCCGAGCGCACGUAGCUAAGAUGCUGGGAGCCCUGCUGGACAGCUCCAUUACCAUCUCAGAAGUAGUGAAGGAGCCAAGAAAGGCUGAGGUACCGAGAGGCGUCCUGGAGGAUGAUGGCUUCCGCCUUUUCUUCACGUCCAUCCCUGGAGGCCCUGAGAAGGAAGCUGCUCCCCAGCCCCGCCGGAAACGGUUGCCUUCCAGCUCCAGCAGCGAGGACGGCGAUGAGUUGCAGCGCUGCCGGGAGGCGGCUGUGUCAGUCUCUGACAUCAUCCAGGAGUCCGCCAUCCACGGCCCUGGCAACAUGGAGAAAAAGGCAAAGAAGAAGAAAAGGAAGUGGAAAAAGAAAGCCAAGGAGGACAGCACCAACCUCGCCCCCACGGCCACCACCGCAAGCAAGGCCGCAUCUGGGGAGCAGGGAAGGGAGUCCACCGGGCUCAACGGAGACCAGGCACCGUUUGGGACCAAAAAGAAGAAAAGGAAGAAAAAGGCAAAGAGGGCCAGUGAGACCUCCCCGUCCCCGCCAGCAAAGAGUGCAGCAGCCAUGCCUGCAAACUGAGCCCUGCCUGUGAGCACGGGGCCCAGCUCAGGCAGCUACAGGGUACAAGGCAUGUCCAAGCCCCGCCUCCCUCUCCAAGUGCAAGGACUUGGCUUGCAAGUCUAGACGUCGCCCAUGACUGGGGCUGGCCCAAGGGUCGGGGCAAAGAAGCAGUUGUAGGGCGAGCAAGGCCUGCCCUUCUGUGCUCCCACUGGGGCUGGGGCAGACCCGUGGUACCAGAACAUUCUGUGGUCUCAGGAAGAAGGAGGAGCCUCCCAGUCAUUGAAGGCUGAUGGCCAAGUGGUAGAGCUUCCGCCUUCUCAGCCUGGUGUGGGACAUGACCUGAAGAAAACGAGGGAGGGUGUCCCCGAGGUGCCAAGCCCCAGGAGGAGUUUUGUGCAUCUCCCUCCAAGCCACACAGACCUGAUAUAACAUUGUCUGGAAAAGAAGGAGAGAGAUCCCUGCCUCCACCUGGUUUUCCAGAAUUUUCUUUCUUCACAUUGUGAAUACACCAUGCAUGAUCAUGUCUCUGAGCCAACUGGAUAAUUGAAAAUAAAUUGUCGAGGGACCCAGAAUGUAACAGAGGGAUUUGGGUGCCGCCCUCGUGUCUGUGCUGAAUCCUGAUGAGCCACUAUAAGUAAGCAUCACACAGGAGGGGUCCUGCCUACACCCCCAGAAGUGUUCCCCUACCCCAGCGUCAAGACUUCAGGAAGUGUCACAGCACUCGUGGCCUGGGGGAUUCGUGGACCUAUGUAUCCUGCAAGAAGGAGCAGAAGUUCAAGGUGAAGGUGAAGUGCUGGCUUCGUUGCCUGGCCUUGGAGAUUCGGCAAAGCAAGGAAGACAGAGGAUGCUGAGCCAGAGGAGCUUACAGCUAGAACUUAGAAAUCAUCUAAUCCAGUGAUGACAGACACACAGCACACACACCACCCCUUUCCUAACUUGUGUCCAAGGGAGACAUCACUAAUCAACCCCUGCGUACUUUGCUACCGGGCCAGGAUAUAAUCUCACAGUCCUCAAUACAAGGCUCCAGCUUCCAGGUCUCUGCUGGUUCCCAGGGAGCACUUUGACCCCUGCUUCCCGCUCGAGUGCUGUGGAUCAAGCCUUUCCCUCCACCCAUCAUCCCACCAAAGGGGCUGCUGAUCAAGAGGCCCCACCCAGCCAGGUAAGGCCUUUGGCACUCCCUGCCCCCACUCUCCCCCGAAAGCCCCCAGUCCCAUCUGGGGCCCUGAGCAGGACUGGCCCUGCCCCACCCUUGUCCGGGUUGCCCUCGCCCUGGGUCUGGAGAUGCCAGACUCUGCCCCUCCCCUGCAACGCGGCAGGGCCCUUUGCCCUCCUCUUCCUGCCAAGUCAGGGGGCCCUGGCUACUCCCCUGCCUCCUGCCCAGGCCCUCAAAAGGCCUGUCAGGCCCUGAGAGCUCCCUGAGGCAGGGAUCCAGCCCUCCCCAACCCCAAGCUGGGAUCAGGACCUUGGACAGAAAAGAGGUGGUCUUUGGGACUCUUGCUCAGAACCCCCAGACACCCCCAGCUGGCCCCUGGCCCCGGUCAUGGUGACUGAGGGCACCAAAGAGAGUGGGUGUGGAGCCCCAGCUGGGUGGCCUUAGUCCAGCUCCGUCCCCCUCAGAGCCUCAGUUCCCUCAUCUGAGGAGCAGUUGUCCCCAGGUGCCUCCAGAGUUCAUCUCAACACUACCCGAAAUGAUACCUGUGAAACCUCAGCACGUGCCCACCUGGCUGUUAGGAUAGAGGUUACAGAGCCUUAGGGGAGGGGCAGUCCCUGCAGCCCCCAGGUUCCCCUUCCCUCACCUCCAACCUCCCCCACCCCUGCUCCGUGUGAAGUUGGUUGGCUCAGGCUUCCCCAGGCUACCAGCCCUCCAAGUUAAUGAUCACAGGCCUUAUCAGAGCCUUUUGCCAUUUAUAAAUUUAUAAAACAAAAGAGAAAUAAUAAAGCCCGUGGGUAAUUAGUAACCAGGUCAGCUCUGCUGAGGAGAGGGGAGGCAUCGGGCUCAGACCCACCCAGUUCUCUGGGAGAUGGGGAGUCAGCCAGUGGGUGGGGUACAGAGUGGGGAGGCUUCUAACGGUACCCACUGGUGAGGGGCAUGGCCUGAGGCUGUGCCGGAAAGGGGAGCAGCUCCCUUCCUAAGGCUCCAUUUCCCUCAGGUAAGAAAGACCUGGGUUCUGCUGACUGAAUGCUUAAGUUCCGGGGAGGCCAAGCGGGCCCCCCAAAACCCCAGCCUGGGCUCCCCCUCCCCACUGGUGCAUCCGGGUGCCUAGCAGGGAAGUUGGGAUUGGGGGAGUAGAAAUGGGCAUGGUAGCUAAAAAUUCCCUGCCUCCCCACCCCCGUUGUCCAGGGACUAGAAUCGUGGACUCUGCUGCUUUGUCCCCAUCUUGGGGCUCCCCUGGGGCAUGCCCCACUUCCCAGGCACCGGGCUGAAAGCCUUGGCUCAUGGAGACUCGGGACCCCGCAGAGGGCCGGGUCAGGGGCUGGAGGCUCCAACCUCCGAGCUAGGACCCCACCCCACCCCCGCUUCCAAGCUCUAAUGGGCCCUGUCCCCCUUGCCGACAGCCAGCCUAAAGGCUACAGCCCAUGGGACUCUGGACUGGCAAGGGCUGGUCAGGAGCCGAGGCUGGGCCCCUCCAGGCUCCUUGGGAGCUGGGGACAGGGGAGGGGUCCUUACUGCAGCAGGGUCUCCACCACGGCUUUCUGGUGGGCUGCCUCCUCGGGGCUGAGGUUCUCCAGCUCUCUGAGAAUGGGCGGCGUGAAGUCUUCCCCCUCGUCGUCCGUCUCGUCCUCGGAGCCCCUCGUCUCCCCCAGCCCAUUGGGCAACUCGGCCAGCUCCCCUCGACCGCCGCCACUGCAGGACUCCCCCUUGUCCGGGGGACCGUCUCCGGCCAGCAGGUAGGGCCCCGGCUCACCCAACGCCUGGAUCAGCGCCUCUUUGCUCAGGCCCGACUCGAGCAAGGCCGCCAGGAGCUCCGUCUGCAGCUGGCUCAGUUUAGAAACCAUGGCUCCACUAGCGCGGGCCACGCGGCCCAGGGCCACUGAGCCGGCCGCCUCCCGCCCCCCCGGCGUGGGCUGGCUCCGUGCUGGCCGGCCAGCAGGCAGGCCCAAACCAGGCUCCUUGCGCCCGCUGCCCCCCCAAACCCCACUAGCCAAGCCCUGUGGGCACCCCCAACCCCCAACCCUGGCCCCAGUGGCCAGUGAAUCAGGGCCCCUGCCCGCUCUGUUUACAUUGGAGCUGGGGAAAUUCUCCAAGGUUCAUAUUUAUCCAUGUGCUUAGCGAAGGGACUGAACUUUGGACUUCACCCUGCAAAGUGCAGGCCUCAUGGCAGCGCAGAGGGACAGGGAGCCGUGGCCUUCCAUGGGAGUGGGCAGAGCGGAGGGCGGGGGAGGCAGCGGUGGGGGGCCCAGGACAGCUGGGAUGGAAGGUACUGGGAGCCAGGGAGGCCUUCAGGUGACCAGCAUUGGGUCCCUCCCCCAGCGACCUCGUAGGGUGCCAGGCUGAGGCAAGAGAACAAAAACAGCCUUGGGAACAGAAACAGCAGAGUUCUAGGCUGUCGGGUCAACUCUCCUCAAGGGCAAGGCUAGGACACAUCCAUCUGAGGACCCCCCACUGCCAGCCCCAACGUCUGGCCUCCCAGGAGGGAAAAACGCGUUGACUAAGUCUACUGUGGGCUGGGUCUGUAACGAGUGUCAUUACCUUAGUGUAGCCCCCUAACAGCCCCCUAACAGAGUAGGUACAGGGAUUGUGCCCAUUUUACAGAGGAGGAAACUGAGGCUCUGAGAGGGUAAGCAACUCGCUCAAAGUCACACAGCUAGCAGGGACAAGAUUUGUGGAGUGGAAGCAGGGUGUGGCCAGUGAAGCACUUGGUGCAGGUGCAAAUUUUAAGGGGAUAUCAAAAAACUCAAGAUGAAAUCAAGAUGAAAAAAUAUUUUUAUAUACUCUAUUAAAAAUUCAAAAUUCAUGCAAAACCCAAAAGAACUUAAAAGAAAUGUCCACACAAAAAUUUGCCUGCGAAUGUUCUCAGCAGCGUGAUUCACAAGAGCUAAAAAAUAGAGAAAACAUAAAUAUCCAUCAGUGGAUGAAUGGAUAGAAGAAAUGUGGUCUCUCCGUGCAAUGGCAUGUUAUUUGGCCAUAAAAAGGAAUGAAGUCCUGAUUCAUGCUACAGUAGGCAUGAAUCUUGAAGACAUCAUGCUAAGUGAAAGAAGCCAGACACAAAAGGCCAUCUAUUGUAUGAUUCCAUGUAUAGGAAACGUCCAGAAUAGGCAA